AACAACAAAAAAAAUGCAUCAAGAUAAAGGUGUUUAGUUAUUUGACUCCUAAAAACACAAAGAACAAUUUGUUUUUUUUUUAAAGUACAUUUACAUAAUGUCUGGAUGGAGUGAAAGACAAGGAGAGAUAGGAGAGGGGGGUGUGCACCUCCAGUGGGUGUGUCACCCGUCAUGUCUCAACACGGCGUGCUCGGCUUGAUAGACAGCUGCACUCGCACCUGAGCUGCCAAGGUGAGACACACGAGUGAAAAACACUCACCGGCGACUUGACGUCCUCUUCUCGGUCAUCACCGGAGCAGCUGAGAGCGGUAGUGUUUCACAGCUGUUCUGUUGCCCGCACCGCUAGAAACUUUGCCUGGGAAUUUGUCGCUUGAAACAUUUCAGUCAUUGUUUCUGGUCGUGUGUGCAACGUGUAUCCAAGCCUGCGGGAAAACUGUGGAUUUUUGGUUGAUUUUUAAACUGAAAUUUUCAGGCUCGGAUGGAACUAUUGCCAAGUGUGUCGAAAUUGACUACUUUGACCAAAUAUUUAACUUGUUUUAAAAUCUAACCGAGCAGUUUGACGGUGACAUAAGGCCGCAGAGUAGCUAUGGUCGUGGUGUUGCCACAUGCAGACCGUGUGUGUGUGCGUGUGUCUAUCUGAGUAUGUGUGGUAUGCUGGUGAACCAGCUCAACUUAAUGAUGAUGAUGAUGAUGAUGAUGAUGAUGGGUGUAACCCAUACCCUCUACAGAGGUUUGAUUUACUGAGAAUGCUGUCAAUUAAAGAGAAUGAUAGGACAAGCCUUAGAAUAGUUUGGGAUUUUUCAUUUGUGAAUGAAAAUUGUACCCUUAUUGUUAUUUUGGUUAGUUGUUUUCAACAUUUUCAAAGCAGGUCUUCGUGGAUCUCAUGAUUGUGCCCGUGUACCUAACAUGAUGUGCGCUGUGUUUAUAUUAAAGAUAUUACAGGCAACACAAGCUAAAUUACACAUUUUAAAGCAACUGUUUUAAGGGGUUUCAGUAUACAACCGAGUUUAAAUUCAGAGUUGCUUGCUUUCAGAGUAGUACCACUAGCGCUGGGUUAGCACUGAGGUCCACUGGAAGAGAUGUUGCAUAAUUAACAGCAUUAAAGAAGAGCGCCUAUGAAAACUCAUUCAGUGCCAGCCCAUGGUAAACCGAUGGAGCUUUUGACUUCUAUAGCCGUCAAUGGCAGUGAAUGAGUUUUAAGAGUAAUAGUUUGCCGCAUCUUGUUCGGUAUUUAUUGUUCCCACACAUCAGAGAGAAUAGAUGUCCUGUUUGCGUUGUGUGAAGGUUUACAAUCAAUAUAAACUGCGCUUGCGCAUUGUUGGCAGUAAGAUAGCAGAUUGUGUUCGACAAAAUGAUAUGGUUUGGUUGAACAUUUUGGUAUCUCUUAAAUACAGAUAAUGUUUAUUUCAUUCUCGUUUCUUUUGCGUGUCGGUUAUACAGUAAACUGCACCUGGGAAUGAAAAAUAAACAGCUUGAAGCGAG